rnacentral:miRNA from 1 species
GAAAGCGCUUCCUUUUAGAGGA